rnacentral:rRNA from 1 species
CGGAGAGUUUGAUUCUGGCUCAGAACGAACGCUGGCGGCGUGGAUAAGACAUGCAAGUCGAACGAGAUCUCUAGCUAGCUUGCUAGCAGGAGUGAAAGUGGCGGACGGGUGCGUAACACGUGAGCAACCUACCCUGGAGUGGGGGACAACUCUUCGAAAGGAGGGCUAAUACCGCAUGUAGAUCUUCGGAUCAAAGGUGGCUUCGGCUACCGCUCCUGGAUGGGCUCGCGGCCUAUCAGCUUGUUGGUGAGGUAACGGCUCACCAAGGCUAUGACGGGUAGCUGGUCUGAGAGGACGAUCAGCCUCACUGGAACUGAGACACGGUCCAGACACCUACGGGUGGCAGCAGUCGAGAAUCAUUCACAAUGGGCGAAAGCCUGAUGGUGCAACGCCGCGUGGAGGAUGACGGCCCUAGGGUUGUAAACUCCUGUCAUCUGGGAGUAAUCCUUGUUCGUUAAUAGCGUGCAAGGUUGAUAGUACCAGAAGAGGAAGCGCCGGCUAACUCCGUGCCAGCAGCCGCGGUAAUACGGAGGGCGCAAGCGUUGUUCGGAAUCACUGGGCGUAAAGCGUGCGUAGGCGGCGCAGUAAGUCAGAUGUGAAAUCUCUGGGCUCAACCCGGAAACUGCAUCCGAUACUGCUGCGCUAGAGUAAUGGAGGGGUAGCUGGAAUUCUCGGUGUAGCAGUGAAAUGCGUAGAUAUCGAGAGGAACACUCGUGGCGAAGGCGAGCUACUGGACAUUUACUGACGCUGAGGCACGAAGGCUAGGGUAGCGAAAGGGAUUAGAUACCCCUGUAGUCCUAGCAGUAAACGGUGCGCGUUUGGUGUGGGAGGAUUCGACCCCUUCCGUGCCGGAGCUAACGCGUUAAACGCGCCGCCUGGGAAGUACGGCCGCAAGGCUAAAACUCAAAGAAAUUGACGGGGACCCGCACAAGCGGUGGAGUAUGUGGCUUAAUUCGAUGCAA